UCUGAGAGUUUGAUCCUUGCUCAGGUUGAACGCUGGCGGCAUGCAUUACACUGACAAGCCCCACCGUACUCAAGGGCAACCCGGCGGCGAGUAAAAACGGGUGAGUAAUGCAUCGAACGUGCGCAACAGUGGGGGAUAGCGCGGCGAGAACCGGAGUAAUACCGCAUACGAACUACGUGUGAAAGCGGGGGACCAUAAGGCCUAGUGCUGUUGGGCNAAACGAUGUCAGAUUAGGUAGUUAGUGGGGUAAAGGGAUAACAUAGUUGCGAGGUCCAGCUGGUCUGAGAGGACGGACCGGUAGAUGGUCUGCGAGACACUCCCCGCUCUACGGGAGACAGCAGUGGGGAAUUUUACGCAAUGAGCCAAGCCUAAUCCUGCCUACCGCGCCAGCCUGAAGGCCUUCUGCCGCGUUAGUNCUUAAGCCUUUGGGACAUCAGCCGCGGUAAUACAUGCUCACC
rnacentral:rRNA from 1 species